AAUCAACAUGACUCUCGGCAACGGAUAUCUCGGCUCUCGCAUCGAUGAAGAACGUAGCGAAAUGCGAUACCUGGUGUGAAUUGCAGAAUCCCGCGAACCAUCGAGUCUUUGAACGCAAGUUGCGCCCGAGGCCAUUCGGUUAAGGGCACGCCUGCCUGGGCGUCACGC
rnacentral:rRNA from 1 species